UACGUAGGUGGCAAGCGUUGUCCGGAUUUACUGGGUGUAAAGGGCGUGCAGCCGGGAAUGCAAGUCAGAUGUGAAAUCCCGCGGCUCAACCGCGGAACUGCAUUUGAAACUGUGUUUCUUGAGUACUGGAGAGGCAGACGGAAUUCCUGGUGUAGCGGUGAAAUGCGUAGAUAUUAGGAGGAACACCAGUGGCGAAGGCGGCCUGCUGGACCGUGACUGACGUUGAGGCUCGAGAGCGUGGGGAGCAAACAGG
rnacentral:rRNA from 1 species